rnacentral:misc_RNA from 1 species
GAUGAAGAACGCAGUGAAAUGCGAUAAGUAGUGUGAAUUGCAGAAUUCAGUGAAUCAUCGAAUCUUUGAACGCACAUUGCGCCCCUUGGUAUUCCAUGGGGCAUGCCUGUUCGAGCGUCAUUUGUACCUUCAAGCUCUGCUUGGUGUUGGGUGUUUGUCUCGCCUCUGCGUGUAGACUCGCCUCAAAACAAUUGGCAGCCGGCGUAUUGAUUUCGGAGCGCAGUACAUCUCGCGCUUUGCACUCAUAACGACGACGUCCAAAAGUACAUUUUUACACUCUUGACCUCGGAUCAGGUAGGGAUCCCCGCUGAACUUAAGCAUAUCAAUAAGCGGAGGA